rnacentral:other from 1 species
GACACCCUGCAGUGUUCGAGGUGCUUUCCAAAAACAGCUCUUUGCCUUGAAACUAUUACGGGAGCCGAACCCGCCGCGGAAGAUGCUAGGCCGUAAAUCGGAAAGCAGACGCUGCGGAGGAGGCGCCCACCUAAACGUAAAAAGGUCUCGAGCCUUUGGGCAUACGGCACAGGCGGGGUGUUA